AGUGAACGCUGGCGGUAGGCCUAACACAUGCAAGUCGAACGGCAGCACUGUAAGAGCUUGCUCUUACGGGUGGCGAGUGGCGGACGGGUGAGGAAUACAUCGGAAUCUACUUUUUCGUGGGGGUUAAGGAGGGGAACCUUACCUAAUACCGCCUUCGGACUAACGGGGGAAAGCAGGGGACCUCGGACCCUGCGCGGUUGGAUGAGCCGAUGUCGGAUUAGCUAGUUGGCGGGGUAAAGGCCCACCAAGGCGACGAUCCGUAGCUGGUCUGAGAGGAUGAUCAGCCACACUGGAACUGAGACACGGUCCAGACUCCUACGGGAGGCAGCAGUGGGGAAUAUUGGACAAUGGGCGCAAGCCUGAUCCAGCCAUACCGCGUGGGUGAAGAAGGCCUUCGGGUUGUAAAGCCCUUUUGUUGGGAAAGAAAAGCAGCAGGUUAAUACCCCGCUGUUCUGACGGUACCCAAAGAAUAAGCACCGGCUAACUUCGUG
rnacentral:rRNA from 1 species